ACGCACGCUGGCGGCGUGCUUAACCCCUGCAAGUCGAACGGAAAGGCCCUGCUUUUGUGGGGUGCUCGAGUGGCGAACGGGUGAGUAACACGUGAGUAACCUGCCCUUGACUUUGGGAUAACUUCAGGAAACUGGGGCUAAUACCGGAUAGGAGCUCCUGCUGCCUGGUGGGGGUUGGAAAGUUUCGGCGGUUGGGGAUGGACUCGCGGCUUAUCAGCUUGUUGGUGGGGUAGUGGCUUACCAAGGCUUUGACGGGUAGCCGGCCUGAGAGGGUGACCGGCCACAUUGGGACUGAGAUACGGCCCAGACUCCUACGGGAGGCAGCAGUGGGGAAUAUUGCACAAUGGGCGGAAGCCUGAUGCAGCAACGCCGCGUGCGGGAUGACGGCCUUCGGGUUGUAAACCGCUUUCGCCUGUGACGAAGCGUGAGUGACGGUAAUGGGUAAAGAAGCACCGGCUAACUACGUG
rnacentral:rRNA from 1 species